rnacentral:lncRNA from 1 species
CUUGAACCAGGAGCAGCUGGAGGAGAGGCGGAGAGAGAGAGGGCUCCAUCGGGGAAGGCCUGUGACGGGCUUUCUCUCCCAGAGCGGCAAAUACCAGGGCCCCUUUGUGGAAUGUGGAGCUGCUCAGAGGACAAGUCGCCCUACUGCUUUCUGGAGGAAGCUGAGAGACUUGGCUUAAGCCACAGAACUAGACGGUGGAUGACAAGCCUAGGACUCGGACUCUGCGACCUUUGCUUCUGUAUUCAUUCUACCUCCCUCUUACUUGGAAGAUUGUCUCCUGGGAAAGAAAAAGUCAUCUGUGAGAUCUCCCAAGGAAAGAUCCCGAUCAGUAUAAGCCGUUCAAUCUACGGCCCGCAGCAGGGCUGGAAACGAACAAGAAAAACUUCCCUCCCAGGCUCCACUCCAGCCCAGAAGGCGGCCUCAGAGCCUUCUGCAAUGCAGCCAUCGUGCAGUGCUUCACGAGAUAUGGACACGGAUGCCCUGAAGUCUCCUGGUCAGGCCUAACCUCUAGCCCAUUCCCCACCACAGGAGACAAUUGGUUUCUGGUUGCCUACAGCACCUUGAAUCUUACGGGCUAUUACCUCCUUCCCCUACUCAUCAUUAUGUGAAAUCUUGGCAAAGAUUAGUCCAAGUGCCCGCUUCUCAUAGGGAAGCUGAGGGGAUGGGCUCCUCCUUCGAGCUGCCCUCUUCUAAAGUAGGGUCAGGUAGAAGGAUGAUCAGAUUGUCUCUCCUGACUCUGAAAAGAGGCUUUCCCAGCACAUGCUGUCUACUGUGUCUCAGCCUCCAUCUUCCUACUUCUUGGCCUCUGGAGAUAAGAGACUGCCUGGAGAGCAGGGAGCUUUUCGUGUUUUACCAUACUUCCCAUGCUACUCAGAAGAAGAGCCAAGAUUGUAUUUCUUAGAGGCCUUUUAUUUCCUGGGUGCUAUCUGCCUGGCUUCAUGGAGGACGGAGAUGGUGUUGGAACUUGGAGGAUAUGGAAGGCUUUCUGGAUGGUUGCAAUGGGCUGAAUAAAGGUAUGGAGGCAGAAAAGCA